UGGGGAAUAUUACACAAUGGAGGAAACUCUGAUGUAGCAACGCCGCGUGGAGGAUGACACAUUUCGGUGCGUAAACUCCUUUUAUAUGGGAAGAUAAUGACGGUACCAUAUGAAUAAGCACCGGCUAACUCCGUGCCAGCAGCCGCGGUAAUACGGAGGGUGCAAGCGUUACUCGGAAUCACUGGGCGUAAAGCGCGCGCAGGCGGUCUUUUAAGUUGGAUGUGAAAUCCUAUGGCUCAACCAUAGAACUGCAUCCAAAACUGAAAGACUAGAGUCUGGGAGGGGAAGAUGGAAUUAGUGGUGUAGGGGGAAAAUCCGUAGAGAUCACUAGGAAUACCAAAAGCGAAGGCGAGCUUCUGGAACAGUACUGACGCUGAGGCGCGAAAGCGUGGGGAGCAAACAGG
rnacentral:rRNA from 1 species